GCUGGAGUCUUCAGGGACAUCUUUUCAUGUUUGGCCGUUUCUGGUUGGCUCUCAUCCAGCUGCUGCCUGCCUGCUGGACUCCAUGCCAACACUGAGCAGUAUUAUACCUGAUCGAAGAUCACAGGAAUACCCAACCCUUGGGUGAGAGGGAGGGUGGCAGCAUAGAGCCCAUUAUAUGUAUAUGUGGUAUUGUUAGAGUCGGCCUUCAAGCCACUUCGAGCCACAUCCUGGGGGGAGCUAUUCUAAGGGAACUGCAAGGUGGGGUUGGUCACAACUCUCCAUUCCUCCCCCACCACACUAACCCCUGCCCACCUGAGUCUUCACAAUAAGCCUCCGGAGCUCUUCACCAAACCUAAGGGCACCUGCAGCCUUUCCACUCCCUUCCCUGGCAUCCCCUCCCCUCACUCAGAUGUUGCCAAAUGGAUGGUGAGCUUGGAUGGGUCCUGGUGGCCAAAUUCCAAACAAAGGGGGAAGCAUCUGGCCCCCUGCCAGUGUUCCGUCCAUGGUAAUUUGGCAGGAAAGCGCCAGCUGCGUCUAUCUGCACAUCUGUUUAUGCCUCUGGCUUGUUAUUUAUUCUCUGCCUUUCAUGGGCAACAGAGCCAGAGCGCACCUCAACUCUCCCCAAGUUAGAUUAACCAGGAAAGAAGGCUGGGACACUCAGUCACUACAAUUGCUGAUAUUCAUUGAAGGAUAUGCCUUCUGCAGCAGCUGCUGCCACUUUUCAUAGAGACACAGAGGAGAGGAGCAAAGGGGAAGGGAGGAGGAGGGAAAGGGGGGAGGAGAGGAGAGAUGAGGGAGGGCUGUGGAGUUAGAGUUGUAGUUAUGUUGGGAGUACUUCAGUCCGGUGGGCCGAUCUCUGAUCCCACUGGAGAUGGGGAGAGGUGGCCAGCCAGUCUUUGAAACACAAUCACUCUGACUUUCCUUCCUGCUAGACACCGUGUUUCAGCGUGUGUGUGUGUGUGUGUGUGUGUGUGUGUGUGUGUGUGUUCUUGUAUGGUGUGGUGAGCAUCAAUCUGGGGAUAAGGCUUUUAACAGAGGCUACAUAGGAUAGGCUUCUUGAGGUGCUUAAAUAACUUUCUUGAGAGAUUCCUGGGAUGAAGUACUUCGUGAAGAACCAGAGCCAGGCUUUGUCCCUGGGACUAAGAAGGAGAAGGAAUGAGGAAAGGAGGAGGAGGGAGAGAGGGAGGGAAAGAAGAAGGGGAGGAGGAGGAAAAGGAAGGAGUGUUAAAGAAUGGAGAAACACGUUCAGCAGGGAGAAAAGAGGGAUGGGUGGAGGAGCCUGGAAGUUUGGAGAUCCUUGGUGCAGGUGCUAUCCUUGGUCCUGACAGACAAUGGGCCCGGGAAUAACCCAGAGUCCCUGACCCGGAUGGGCCUCCAAACUCCCUACAAUUUUCUUUCAAGGAGACUGGAUGAUUUGGGAGUAGAAGCAAAGAUCUGGAGCCUCAUCUGGUGAGAAAUGAAACACAGGUCUGACUUGUCCUACUAUUACCCCAUCUCCCUCUCCUGCCUUUUUCAAAACAACUCCCUGUCCAGUCAAUGCUCCUUACAGCGGACAGGUAGGUGUGGACCUGGAGAACACUGGGCAGGGCUCCUGGGUAAGACUGCAGACAUCUGACCUCUGGGACCCUUGGCCUGAGUGGGGGAAGUGGGGGUGCCCUGCGGGGGGAGUGCUGGCCUGGUCAGAUUUAAAGCAACUAGACCCUGCCAAAUUCUGGACAGACAUUUUGCUUCUAUUUUCCCUCUGCUCCUUUGCAAAACCCAAAUACCAAGAUCAUUUUUUCCCUCCUUCAAAAAAUUAUAUGUAACGAGCUGUUCAUAGGCAGUACUUGCACAGAUGGGGGUUUAAUCAGCUAGAGGCUAAGCACACGGGCAUUCCAGCCUAAUCCAAUUCCCAUCAGUUCAUCACCCAGAGAUUACGGCAGGGCCAAAACUCUGAAUGGAUUCUAAAGAGCUGUCAGUGGAGCAGUAACUGCAUCAGCCAAGACAGGAGGCCAGACUGUGUGGAGAGUGCCCGGCAGUCCCUGGCCAUGCUCUGAGACCCCUGGUCCUAUGAGUCUACUUCAUAGUUUUUGUUUUUGUUUUUGUUUUAGUGAAUCACUGUGUACAGGCCUUGGUGCCAGGCACUGAGGGGGAAGAUAGAGGGGAAAUAUCAACUGCCUUUGGGAAUCUCUGUUUAGAGGGGAGAUACGUGGUCCCCUGCUUGGAAGGAACUCCCGGUUUAAUGGGGGAGAAAUGGCCCCUGCCUUCUAGACUGCUCUUUGAAGAGUACUAACUUAUAAGUGACACACAUAUCUGUCCUAAAAUCUCUAGGAAGAGGCAGAAACAGUCUCGUCACGAAGGCGUGGGGAGGAGUGUGACUCCUACCAGUUCCUGCAGCAAAUCAGAAACAGAAGUUGGGCAUAGAAGGCAGGCUGUGGACUCCAGACCAGGGGACAUCAUUACUUUCCUUCUCCCAUGAGGGGAAACUGGGCCAGGUGAAGCCAGGGAGACAGCCCAGGACAGAAGGAGGGGAGGGAGAGACAGGAGCAUGUGGCCCACCCUCCUCUAGGGGUGAGGGAGAGCUUCCUGGAGGAAGUACACUGAAGCAGAGACCUGAAGGACUCAUGGGACAGCUUCUCAGCCUCGUGCCCUUCAGGGAGUCUCCGCAAGUCCUCUUCCGCCAGCCACACCCUGCCCAGCGUCCAGCUUCCCCAGGGACUCCCCAGCUCUGAGAUUACACCGAGACACUUUCCCCCUGGGAUUCAGUUGAAAGACUUUGGACCUGGAGGAGAAGGAUCUAGAGGGGGUGGGAUCUGGGUAUUCCUCAGAUGGAGCAACCCAUUCCAAGAAGGCACAUGGUGCUGCUGCUCCCAGGCCCACGUCCGCAGGAGGGAAUCAGAGACCUGGGACGGAGGGCUGGAAGCUGACAGAGGGGAUGAGAUCCAGGUAAGAAAUGAAUAAGCAGGGGCACCUGGGUGGCACAGCGGUUAAGCGUCUGCCUUUGGCUCAGGGCGUGAUCCCGGCAUUAUGGGAUCGAGCCCCACAUCAGGCUCCUCUGCU